rnacentral:misc_RNA from 1 species
UGGGAAAUCAAAGUGAAAAGUACCCCUCGCCGUUGUCCUCACGUUUAUAAUUUGUAGAAAUCAAUGUAGUUGGUAAUCUUAAAAUUGAUUUGAUAAUUUUACCAGUGGUUCUGGGAAGCUAUUCGAAGAUAAAUUCAUGGAGUCGAUAACAUUGGAAUUACGGCCACUUCUUUGCUCCUGCAACAUGUUUAUAAAGCUGUAUCAAUGUACAGAUGUUGAUUCCAUUCAAAUAAAACUGUCUGCCAACAAUGUUAUGAUAACAAUUGGAACUAGAAGGUUUAAUGUGCAUUUGACAACAAUGAAAAUUGUACCAAAUACUUUAUCAAUGUUAAAAAUUAGUACAGCGUGGAUAUCAUUUCGGGUUCAAACAGAACCUAUCGAUGUAAUGUAUGGAUCUUUUGGAACAGAAAUAAUACAUUUAGCCAAUGCAAGCACUCCUCUUAUAGAUAAUAUAGCUAAUGUAGAGUUACCUCCAAAUAAUUCUAUGCUUACUUUAUUCUGUCACCAUUGUCAGAAUAAAAUUUCGAAUCAGGUCUUUCUGAAGAGAGUAUUACCCAUUCCCUCAGAUGAAUGCAAUCCAGAUGAAUGGUUUUGUUGCACGCAUGGUGAAAAUAAUUAUUUAUCAUUACUAACUCCGAACAAAUCGGACUACUUUUAUGGUUCUUAUUACUGUGUUUUAAAUUCCAAUAAUAUAUCAUCCAAUGUAAAGUUAGAUAAUAAGACUGUAAUUUGCAGCAGAUGCUACAAUAGUUUAGGCUAUAUACAUGAUUCCAAUUCAAUUAAAUUUUGGAAUUGUUGCAUUGAACAGGAGAUGACAACCGAGUCAUUAUUAUUAUUAAGGAAAAUAACAGAUCCCUUUAACGAUUUUAUACUAGCCGUUAGAACUUCAAUCACUGCCUCCAUAGGCGAAGAGUUGCUUUUAUAUGCAGUUCAUGGUAAUUAUAUAAGUUUUUUGCUGUUAAAACUCAUGGAACGGCAAUUAAAUUUGUUUCGAGAAUCAAAACUAAUUUCUAAGAAAGAAAUUCAUCUAGAACGAGCUUGUGUUGCUAAGGUCUUAUACAAGUAUGGACUAAAUAAAACAUUACCAAUACAACAUUCAGAAGUGAAGCAAUGUUUAGUUACUUUCUCUAUGAUUUUGGCCGCCACACAGCAUCUCUUAUCAUCAAGUAAACGUAUUCCAUUAUCCUAUCGUUUAACAGAAACCUAUUAUAUUGGAUAUAUGGAAGUGUAAAAAUAUGUAUAAAAGUAGCAAGGAAAAAAGAGUCAACUUAGUAGGGAUAUAUUGCCAUAAAAAAGGACAGACUUAAGAUACCAGUUUGUACAUACUUUGUAGUAUUAUUAUUUAUCUUAAAUAAGCUAUUUUUAUAUCAUUUUUAUGCUAGUAAUACAUAUGUACAGACUCAAUUAAAAAGAUUUUCAUUCAAACGGUAUUACGUGGUUACUUAUUGCACUAUACAGAGCUAUAUUAUAUUAUCUUCUUGUUAACACAUUCGCGACCGGUGACGUGAAUUCACGUUUUUCAAGUUCUAUUUCUGGUCGCCGCUGACGUGAAUUCACGUCAUUUUAAAUUCUAUUCCUGAUUGCCGCUGACGUGAAUCCCGUCCUGCUUAGUUGGCUCACUAAUUUUUAGCCGGCGCGGCGCUUGCGGCAAAUCGCCUCAGUUAUGAUUUGAAAUACACUAAAAGGACGCAGCCAUUGAGCAACUCAGCCAAAUAAGCCGUAAUAUUGUUGACCUCACUUGUCUCAGUUGCAAGUUUGGAUUUUGGGAGCGAAUGAAAAGAAAGUGCUUUCAUACCGGAUUUGCUAGUUUUAUCAGAUAUAUCUGUCCCAUAUACAUAAUAAUCUGAAAAAAAUUUACCGUUAUAAUGGAAAAUGAAGAAAUAUGUGCUGACGAGAUUUCCGAGAUUGAAUCCACAGAACUUCAUAGCGAUAGCGAGACGGACAGCGACACAGUAACGCAAUUUAUGCAGAGGCAUACAACUCAGAUAAUAUAUGACAGCGAAUCCAGCGACAGUGACUACCAAACAGAUAAUCAGUGGACAAAAUAUGAUCCAAAGAGAAACGUAGAAAUGUUUACCGGCAUUUCGGGUGUCAAGCUACAUCCAAAUAACCCUCAAAGUAUAAGUGAAAUUGUCGAACUAGUUAUUGAAGAUGAUUUUAUAGAAAUGGUCGCAAUUGAAACUAACAGAUAUUACGAUCAGAUGCACCGCAGAUAUAAAUGUGGAAGGAAAACAAAAGAGUGGUACGAUACUACAGUUCCCGAGAUGAAAAAAUUUUUCGCAUUAAUUAUUUUGAUGGGACAAGUACAGAAAACUACGAUACAUGAUUAUUGGUCAACACGUCCGUCAAUCGAGACACCUUUCUUUUCAAAAAUAAUGACGAGGCAUAGAUUUCUUCAAAUUUUGCGCUUCCUGCACUUUUCCAAUAAUACGGAAAUGGCGUCAAAUCCAAGCAGGUUGUGUAAAAUUCAACCGGUAAUAAAUUAUCUCUUAAAUAAAUUUAGCACCGUAUAUAAGCCCGAACAGGAGCUUUCUUUAGAUGAAGUUAUGAUACCAUAUCGUGGAAGAUUGUCUUUUAGCGUUUAUAAUCCGAGCAAAAUAACAAAGUACGGAAUACUAGUCAGAAUGUUGUCUGAGGCAAGUACUGGAUACCUCUGUAACUUUCAGCUGUAUUGUGGAAGAGGAGACCCUUUGGAAAAAACUAUUUCACAUCUUUUAAAUAAAAGCGAAAACUUAUGGCACCAUGUAUACAUGGACAAUUAUUAUAAUAGUAUUACAUUAGCUGAAAGCUUACUGACGAAGAAAAUUCGUAUUUGCGGUACUAUACGUAAGAAUAGGGGGUUUCCAAAGGAUCUAAAUGAUCUCAGAUUAAGAAUAGGUGAAUUUGAUUUUCGGCGUAAAGGUGAGGUACUAGUUCUCAAAUGGAAAGAUAAGCAAGAUGUUCGAAUGAUAUCUACCAUACACAAUGCCGAUGUCGUUGAGACUGGGAAAAUAAAUCAAAAAACUGGACAGCAAGUUCGUAAGCCUGAAUGCAUUAUGAAAUACAAUCAACAUAUGAAAGGCGUUCAUCAAGCUGAUCAGUAUCUUUCAUACUAUUCAUUUUUGCGAAAAUCAAUCAAAUGGACAAAAAAAGUUUUCAUGUUUCUUUUACACUGUACUUUCUUCAAUUCUUUUAUUCUGUAUCGUAAGCUUAAUCCACAUACCAAUAUAACUUUUUCCAAGUUCUUACAAACUCUGGCUGAAGAAUGGAUUUCCUCUGCUACUGAACAUCAUGAUACAGAAAAUUUACCAAGCAGUUCAACAGCUUUGGGCCGAGCACCUCACUUUGACCCCCCUUACAGACUUUCAGGAGACAUGAAAACACACCAAUUGGAAAGAAUUGCACAAACGGGGAAAUUAAAAUACCCACAAAAGCGUUGUAGAGUCUGCAAAACUCGUGGAAUACGUCGUGACACUUCUUAUAUAUGCAAAUUAUGUAAAAUUCCUCUAUGCAAAAAUCAUUGUUUUUCGAUUUAUCAUACUAGCCAGAAAUAUUAAAUUUUGUUUUUGCUCGACUUAUCCAAAAUACCUGUAAUAUGAUGCUAAAUAAAUUCAGCACAAUGAUAUCAAGUGGUCCAUUGUCUACUUAUAAAGCAAGUAUACAAAUUAUAAAAAUCUUUUUAUUUUAAAUAACACAUAAAUGCAACAUUGAUAUUUCAAAACAAAUUUUAUCAUUUUUAUCCUUGCUUUAACGAUACAAGUUUGCGGCAACCAGUUUCAGAAUUUCAUUAUUUUCGCCGGUACUCAGUACUUGAAACAGAACAACUUUGCCGGUCGCGAAUGUGUUAAUAUUAUACAUUGUGAGUCAAUAAUGUUGAAUUUAUAUUUAACCUUAAGGCUUGUAUUUAUAUUCCUAUUUCUUUUCUCCCUUUAUUAAUUCCAUGUAACGUAAGUGAAUUAGCUUAAUACUUUAAAGUUUGUUAAAAUAGUAGUUAAAUAAAUCUAAUCAUUAGACUAUGUAUCAAA